rnacentral:lncRNA from 1 species
CCAGCUUUGAAAAUGGAAGCAAGUGGGCCUCCCUCACUUGUCACUUGUCUCCUAGACGGCAGAGAGAUCUGGAAAAAGGUCUUCCACCUCAACACCACUACAGAAAUUCUGGAAACCACCAAGCACUCAUUGAAUUGCACAGCAGAAUUAGAUCGACUACUUGUUUUUAAUACUUGCUUUGAGGCCUUCGUUGAUACUGACGUAGGGGGCAAUGUAUCACAAAUGGACAAAUAUCAAAUUCUGCUCAAGUCAAUGAAGCCAGAGGAUGACCAACAGAAGCAGCAGGUAUGUAUGCAUAUCAAAUGGUAGCCUGUGUUUUGGCUUAAAGGGAUAGUUUGGUUUGUUUUAAGUGGGAUUGGUCACACCAACUCAUUCAAUGUUUUCUUUCUUUUCAUGAUUGCAGCUAUUUGACCACAAAGGCCUGAUUCGUGCAGUCAUGAAAAGAAAGAAAACGCAUUGAAUUAGAUGGUGUGUCAAAACUUUUGGUCUGUACUGUGUUUGUAUGUAUGUCUGUCUAGUAUAUGUCAGGAUGAGCAAUAUAUUAUAUUUAAUCAGUGAUAUUACUUUCUUUUUAAGGCUCAACUAUCGCCUCAGAGACAAAGUACAAAUGCACCUGGUCCUAGUGCUUUAAGUGGGGUAUAUAUGUGUCUGGGAGAUGUACUACCUAGUUUCAGAUAUUGAGCUAAUCAGUGCAAAACAUCAAAGAAUUAUGAACACCACUGAUUUAUUUUUGCUCAUGGAAGCAUCAUUUUGGAUUUUAGUGUGAUAAGCUACUUUUGUACACAUUGUUUUGAUUUACAUAUCUCUUUUCUUUUUCUUUAUACUUUUCUAAGGAUCAACCAUCGACUCAUGAUGCACCUGGUCCUAGUGGUCUUUGGGAGGUAUGUGUCUGAAAGAGAUGCAUAGAGACAGUAAUAUCACAUGGGGCUGAUAACAGUACGAAACAGUAUUGCAUCACUGUAUGCCAACACAAAAUGUCUGUUUAUUUUGAUGUUUAGAAUAGAAUAGAAUAGAAUAUUCCUUUAUUGAUCCCCCAUGGGGGAAAUUUUUUUGUCACAGCAGCAUCACAGACAAGACAAAGAGUGCAAAAAUGCAGUUAUAACAAUAAGGAUCCUAAUAUUAAGAACUUAAUAAAUGUAAUAAUUAAGAAAAAAAUUAGAAAAGGGAAAAAGGGAGAAGAAAAAAAAAAACUUUCUACAAUAUACACAAUUUACACAAUUUAAAUGCCAGAAAAAAGUGGCGGUGUAAAUCCAGUUUUGUUACUGUUCAUUGUAAAGUCUUAUUGCAGAGGGGAGGAAUGAGCGCUCCGUCCUGCAGGGUGGGAGUCUCAGCCUGAUGCUGAAGGAGCUGCCUAAAGCCCCCACAGUCUGGUGCAGUGGGUGAGAGGGAUUGUCCAUGAUGGAUACAAGCUUUGUUAACAUCCUCCUCUCACCCACUUCCUCCAGGGAGUCCAAAGAACAGUCCAGGACAGAACCGGCCCUCCUGACCAGUCUAUUCAGUCUCUUCCUGUCCCUCUCGGUACUCCCUGCCCCCCAGCAGACCACUGCAUAGAAAAGUGCAGAUGCUACCACAGAGUCAUAGAAAGUCCUGAGCAGAGUCCUGCACACUCCAAAAGACCUCAGUCUCCUCAGCAGGUGGAGACGACUUUGGCCCUUCUUGUACAGAACGUCUGUGUUUCAAUACAGUACAGAUUCACUGCUUCAAGAUAGUACUACAAAACUUGUCCAUGUAGAUUCUCAUUCAUCCAGGUCAUGGUUAUCUUGAAGACUUAAAAACAGGCAACUGGACUGUGUAGAGUUGAGAAGACGUUUCGCCUCUUAUCCAAGAAGAUUCUUCAGUUCUAAAAGUGCUAGUGUCAGGAACAUUUUGUGCCAGAUUGAUUAGGUGCAGGCUUUCUUGGUAUGACUGAACAUAUAAUUUUAGCAUUGCUCUUGUUCAAGCCGAGACAUUUUUUUUCUUUUUAAAGGCUGGACAGCUGAAUGCCGCUGCAGCCCGUCAAUCGCAGGUAUGUGUAUGGAGCGCAACAGUAAGUUCUUCCUCCAGGUCCUUUAUAUAAUGUGUUUUAAGGCUUGAACCUAGCCAACACAACAAUAAAAAUAUCAGGGAUGUUUUCCCAUUGUUAUCGUUUGUUUUUGCUUAUUAUUGUUUUACGAUUGCUCAGGAUAUUUGAAUACCAGGGGUCUUCAGCGUUUUCAGGCCAGCGACCCCUUAGCCCCCUCUAUGAACUUCUUUGCCAAACAUAGCUGAUCUACAAGUUGACAACACCUCGCAGCCCAAGGCGUUGUAAGCUUGUAGAUCAGCUAUUUUUGUCUAAGCUUUCACUCAGAAUAGAGAUGCUAGAGUUCAACUAGUUAAUGAUGAAAGAUUUGGUGCCCCCCUGUAUUAACUCUGCUCUGUCCUAGAACGGUCAAGGACAUUUUACACAACAUUUUGAUGCAGCCAGUCUGAGUGCACUCAUUGAGUGAAUAUGAGAAAUAUGAGGGAAUAUGAGAAAUCAGGAACACUCUUCCUGACAUCCAGAAAGCCGCUUGUGAGAAUAAGUGUCAGUGAUCUGGUGGAGCGAAGAGGAUU